rnacentral:rRNA from 1 species
UACGGGGGGGGCAAGCGUUGUUCGGAAUUACUGGGCGUAAAGGGCUCGUAGGUGGCCAACUAAGUCAUACGUGAAAUCCCUCGGCUUAACCGGGGAACUGCGUCUGAUACUGGAUGGCUUGAGUUUGGGAGAGGGACGCGGAAUUCCAGGUGUAGCGGUGAAAUGCGUAGAUAUCUGGAGGAACACCGGUGGCGAAGGCGGCGUCCUGGACCAAUACUGACACUGAGGAGCGAAAGCCAGGGGAGCAAACGGGAUUAGAUACCCCGGUAGUCCUGGCCCUAAACGAUGAAUGCUUGGUGUGGCGGGUAUCGAUCCCUGCCGUGCCGAAGCUAACGCAUUAAGCAUUCCGCCUGGGGAGUACGGUCGCAAGGCUG